UACAGAGGUCCCAAGCGUUGUUCGGAUUCAUUGGGCGUAAAGGGUGCGUAGGUGGCGUCGUAAGUCGGGUGUGAAAUCUCGGGGCUUAACUCCGAAACUGCAUUCGAUACUGCGGUGCUUGAGGACUGGAGAGGAGACUGGAAUUUACGGUGUAGCAGUGAAAUGCGUAGAGAUCGUAAGGAAGACCGGUGGCGAAGGCGGGUCUCUGGACAGUUCCUGACACUGAGGCACGAAGGCCAGGGGAGCAAACGGG
rnacentral:rRNA from 1 species